rnacentral:tRNA from 1 species
UAUUAAAGUAAUCAAUUGAUGGUUGGUUUUUAACCAAUGUAUGAGUUUUCUCCUUAAUAA